rnacentral:rRNA from 1 species
GACGAACGCUGGCGGCAGGCCUAACACAUGCAAGUCGAACGCGUGGCGGACGGGUGAGUAAUGUCUGGGAAACUGCCCGAUGGAGGGGGAUAACUACUGGAAACGGUAGCUAAUACCGCAUACGCUCGGAUGUGCCCAGAUGGGAUUUGCUAGUAGGUGGGGUAACGGCUCACCUAGGCGACGAUCCCUAGAUGGUCUGAGAGGAUGACCAGCCACACUGGAACUGAGUCACUGCCCAGACUCCUACGGGAGGCAGCAGUGGGGAAUAUUGCACAAUGGGCGCAAGCCUGAUGCAGCCAUGCCGCGUGUAUGAAGAAGGCCUUCGGGUUGUAAAGUACUUUCAGCGAGGAGGCGUGACUCGCAGAAGAAGCACCGGCUAACUCCGUGCCAGCAGCCGCGGUAAUAC